UACGGCGGGUGCUAGCGUUGUUCGGAAUUACUGGGCGUAAAGCGCGUGUAGGCGGCCAUUUAAGUCUGAUGUGAAAGCCCGGGGCUCACCCCCGGAAGUGCAUUGGAAACUGGGUGGCUAGAGUACCGGAGAGGAGGGUGGAAUUCCUGGUGUAGCGGUGAAAUGCGUAGAUAUCAGGAAGAACGCCGGUGGCGAAGGCGGCCCUCUGGACGGAUACUGACGCUCAGACGGGAAAGCGUGGGGAGCAAACAGG
rnacentral:rRNA from 1 species